UGAGCAAGAUGAGAAAACCAACAAGUCAAAAAAGCCACCAAGAACAAUAAAUUCGACCCCAAAACAAGCUCUUCACCGAGGAAAAUAAGGUGGAUUUUAGACUUCUUUUUAACAGCUUAGACCUAGUGUGACUAUUAAUAUUCUAUAUACAAGAAAAAUGCAUGGAAACCAUAAUCCGACUUAAAGAAGUACAAAAACAGGCACAGGAUGCCGCAGUUUCGGCCCAUUUUUUAUUUCCAAUAAAACAAAUUAUUUAUUUAGAUUUGAACAAAUAUAUUGUACUACAAGAAAAUGCUCUACAUCCUUAAUCUAAUCAUUAUUUUCUUAUGAUAUAUAUUAGAUGAAACGUAUUAAAUAAAUCAGACCAUAACUAACCAUGAGAUUACUUGUUGUUCACAUCUAAUUUUUUCUUUUCAUAGAGCCAAUGGGAUUUCAUCUCCUUCAUCAUAAAAUUUAUUUACUUACGAGUUCAACUUUUCUGGAUUGCUGUUUGACUCCACAUUCCAUAGGGUUGCCAUGAUAUUAAGAUAGUCGGGGAGAUGAAUUUCAAUUCGUAGUUAAUUUAAGGAUGUAUUAAACAGUGUUAUUCUUUUCCUACUGAUUUUGCCUCUUUAACGAUUUGUCAGGGAGCUAACAGAGCCGGCGACGUUUCUUUGCUCUAAAUAUCAGAUUUUCCUCUAUCAACAGCCUUUUACGGCAGAACUUUUUUGCUAAUCAAUUCAUUCAAUAAAUUCACCACCAGGGCCGAUAUGAAAUUAAUAUUUUAUCGGUCGGACGGUAAAAUAUCCAUUUUAUUUCGACCUUGAAAUUUUGACUUAUA